UUAAAGACAGCUUUCAGCAUCCCUGAUGGCAGCAAAUAUGUCUAUGACAGUAACAUGGGGUGAAGCAGCUGAGUGGAAGAAGAUAUAGAGUGGUGUAGAGGAAAGUAUUGGAGAACAAGAAGAGUGAUGCAGAAAAUGAAACGCAGGGACACAAAGAAAAAGCACACAGCUCUAGACAUAUUUAUGAAGACUUAAGCUGGGACUUCCUCUGCACGCCAGCUCCCUCCCCUGUCCCCAAGCUCUACAGACAUGAUGGCCCCUCCCACCUCCCGGGUUUCCCACAGCCCAGUAGUGCCCUGAGUCUCUUCCUAUGUCCAAUCCUAUGGUUUUGUUUCCUUUGCUUUUUGUUUCCUGCCCACUUCGUAGUUAUAGGUAUUUGCUGAAGCUCAGACCUUGGCUCAUUUCCUUUUCCAUUCUUACUGAACUGAGAAGUUGGAAUGCUUCAAUCAACAGCACUGUGCUGACAACCUCUCUCAUCCUGGAUCGCAGCCCCUAAGACAUGUCUUCCUGGAUAUUCCAUGGUUCUUUCACAUAUCUAACACAUACUGCAUCUUCAUUGCUGCAUCCCAAUUUUCCCAGACCCACAAUGUGAAAAUUUUUAUUAUUUGGUCCUGAAACCUUUUGCAUUAUCCUACCUAUCAAAUCUGCCACAGUCCUUGUUGACUUUUAAAAAGUUUUACUAGGGUACCAUGUCCAGUAUCUUGACCCCAGGCUGGUAACCAUCGCUUUCCCGUUACUCUGCACCAGCUUCUU
rnacentral:antisense_RNA from 1 species